rnacentral:lncRNA from 1 species
AUACGAAGAUCAGAACUCCAGAAGGCAGUGCACUCCAACACCUCACAGAAUAUCUUCUUGAUUGGAAGAUUGCUGAGAUCCUUACUAAACUGCGAUGUGAAGCUCUCGCAUUAAACGAUAAAUUUGAGAACCCGCAGAAGCUGAAAUUUGAUAUUCCAACCACAUAGGGCUCAGAAAAAUAGGAAGCAUUCCUGUAUCUCAGUGUUGAACCUCCUUCUUCUCCCCUUGGGACGUUAUUUGUUGGUGGCAUGAUUCCAUAUUACCAGAAGAGGAAUGCACGAGCCAGUCAUUAUCGCUGAAGAAGAGAGCCACUGGGGCGGUGAUCUUGCUGAGUCUGUAUGGAGGCGGCUUCUCCUGUCUGUAGAUUUUCAUGUUCGUCUUCUGGCCAUAAUCGAACCACUUGAAGUCACCUGUAUCAGAAAAACGUCAUGGGUCAUAUGCUAGGAAAAACAACAGGAAAUGUUUGGAGACGAAUAAAUACCCUGUUGAGUUGUCGUGAGUCGUAUCCAGCGAUCAGGAACAGAAUAUUGGAGCAGAUGGUUGAUGUGAGCGCCUUCUCCUGGCAUAGCUGCCUUCCCAGUGUGGUCACUGCCGUAUUCCCAGGUUCAUAGUGGAUAUCCUCGUGUCAAUGAAUAGUGGAUGGAGAUGUGAAUUGAAAGAUCUUCAAGGAUUGAU